AUUGAACGCUGGCGGCAGGCCUAACACAUGCAAGUCGAGCGAGCGGCGGACGGGUGAGUAAUGUCUGGGAAACUGCCCGAUGGAGGGGGAUAACUACUGGAAACGGUAGCUAAUACCGCAUACCAUCAGAUGUGCCCAGAUGGGAUUAGCUAGUAGGUGGGGUAAUGGCUCACCUAGGCGACGAUCCCUAGCUGGUCUGAGAGGAUGACCAGCCACACUGGAACUGAGACACGGUCCAGACUCCGACGGGAGGCAGCAGUGGGGAAUAUUGCACAAUGGGCGCAAGCCUGAUGUAGCCAGGCCGCGUGUUUGAAGAAGGCCUUCGGGUUGUAAAGCACUUUCAGCGGGGAGGCGUUACCCGCAGAAGAAGCACCGGCUAACUCCGUGCCAGCAGCCGCGGUAAUAC
rnacentral:rRNA from 1 species